GGGAUACCCGAGGGAAACUUCGGUUAAUACGGUAUAAGACCACACUACCGCAUGGUAGAGGGGUAAAAGGGGCAACCUGGUAUGAGAUGGACUCGCGUCGCAUUAGCUAGUUGGUGAGGUAACGGCCCACCAAGGCGACGAUGCGUAGCCGACCUGAGAGGGUGAUCGGCCACAUUGGGACUGAGAUACGGCCCAGACUCCUACGGGAGGCAGCAGUGGGGAAUAUUGGGCAAUGGAGGAAACUCUGACCCAGCAAUGCCGCGUGAAUGAAGAAGGUCUUCGGAUUGUAAAGUUCUUUAGUCAGGGAAGAAGUCAAUGACGGUACCUGAAGAAUAAGCUCCGGCUAACUACGUGCCAGCAGCCGCGGUAAUACGUAGGGAGCAAGCGUUGUUCGGAAUGACUGGGCGUAAAGGGUGCGUAGGCGGUUGUACAAGUUAGAAGUGAAAUACCCAGGGCUUAACUCGGGUGCUGCUUCUAAAACUGUAUGACUUGAGUGCAGUAGAGGUUAGUGGAAUUCCUAGUGUAGCGGUGGAAUGCGUAGAUAUUAGGAGGAACACCAGAGGCGAAGGCGGCUAACUGGACUGCAACUGACGCUGAGGCACGAAAGUGUGGGGAGCAAACAGGAUUAGAUACCCUGGUAGUCCACACUGUAAACGAUGGAUACUAGAUGUAGGAGGUAUCGACUCCUUCUGCGUCGCAG
rnacentral:rRNA from 1 species